AGUUUCGAGAGUUCUCGUGGUCAAGCUACUAAGGGCGUACGGUGAAUGCCUUGGCGCCAGGAGUCGAUGAAGGACGUGGUAAGCUGCGAUAAGCUUCGGUGAGCCGCAAACAGGCUUCGACCCGGAGAUCUCCGAAUGGGGCAACCCACCCCGGCUCAUCCCGGGGUAUCCCCGGCUGAAUACAUAGGCCGGCGGAAGGCAACGCAGGGAAGUGAACCAUCUCAGUACCUGCAGGAAAAGAAAUCAACAGAGAUUCCGCGAGUAGCGGCGAGCGAAAGCGGAACAGCCCAAACCGGCGUGCUUGCACGCCGGGGUUGUAGGGCCUGCCGGGCCGCGAGGCCGGCGAGUCAAAAACCGGUUCGUUAGGCGAACGACNAGGAACGGUCGGCCACAGGGGGUGACAGCCCCGUAGCCGAAAACGAACCGGCUCGCUGGGCAGGUACCUGAGUACCGCGGGACACGUGGAAUCCCGCGGGAAUCUGCGAGGACCAUCUCGCAAGGCUGAAUACUCCCUGGCGACCGAUAGUGAACCAGUACCGUGAGGGAAAGGUGAAAAGAACCCCUGUUAGGGGAGUGAAAGAGUACCUGAAACCGUAUGCCUACGAGCAGUGGGAGGGCUAUGACCGGGGGCUUGCUCCCGGUAAUGCCUGACCGCGUGCCUUUUGCAUAAUGAGCCGGCUAGUUA
rnacentral:rRNA from 1 species